UUGAAGGGCUACAUAUUCCACUGCAUUUCAUUUUAUAUGAUCCAUUCAAAACAAAUAUGACCAUACAGGUGCAAGGUCGAUUAAAAUAGCAGAACAUUGCUAUAGUACUUUGAAUGAAGUGAACUAAUUGAAGGCACAUACACACAAUCUCUCUCCCUUUCCUUUUUAAAUAUAUCUGAAUAUAUUGCAGCAAAUGCAUACUAAAUGUUCAUAUGCAGUUGUUAGAGAUUGAACCCUUCACCCUUUACUGGGCUAGUUUAAGGAGAUUAAAUGUCACGGUCGCGCUUGCAUUCAGGAGCGAUGGUAGGAAAGCGGGCGCGAUCAGUGCAGUAGUUGUAAAUGGUAUACUUCUGGCGAAUCCACGCGAGUCUCUGGUAUUGAGCAGCAUCAAGGUCCUGGAACUCCUUCUGAUCCCACCAACGCUUGCCUUGUGUCUCACAGAACUUGGCAUUCACUGAAACCUCACAGCCAUCUGUGUGGAACCCCUUGUAGGAGGCUAUAAAGGGUGCCUUGGACCAGUCUGUCUUCUCCAAACCACCCCUAGUAGCCCAAUCGUCUGCAUUCCACAGGCUCGAGUAUAACUUCAUUGGCUGGUUGAAUGGGAACCUUACUCCCAAAUCUUUGCAGUUCUUGAACACCCUGAUUGGCACAUCAUCCACAAAGAACACAAUCUGAUACAUGUUCCACAGUACAGAGUAAGUGUGGAAUUCCUUGGUGGGAUCAAACCAGAGAUAAAUUCUCUGCUCUCUAUCUCCCUUGCCUCCUGUGAACACAUUUGUCUGCAAGAUGUAGGGCUGCCCAGUUCUGUUUCCCAAGAACUCAAAGUCUAUCUCA
rnacentral:misc_RNA from 1 species